UUAUUAACAGAAGUUAAUAAGGGAAAGAUUUAUUGGUAAGAGAUUAGCCUGUAUUGUAUCAGUUAGUUGGUGGGGUAAUGGCUUACCAAGACUAUGACACAUAACUGGUUUGAGAGGAUGAUCAGUCACACUGGAACUGAGACACGGUCCAGACUCCUACGGGAGGCAGCAGUGGGGAAUAUUGCACAAUGGACGGAAGUCUGAUGCAGCAACGCCGCGUGGAGGAUGACACAUUUCGGUGCGUAAACUCCUUUUAUAUGAGAAGAUAAUGACGGUAUUAUAUGAAUAAGCACCGGCUAACUCCGUGCCAGCAGCCGCGGUAAUACGGGGGGUGCAAGCGUUACUCGGAAUCACUGGGCGUAAAGAGCAUGUAGGCGGAUUAAUAAGUUUGAAGUGAAAUCCUAUAGCUUAACUAUAGAACUGCUUUGAAAACUGUUAAUCUAGAAUGUGGGAGAGGUAGAUGGAAUUUCUGGUGUAGGGGUAAAAUCCGUAGAGAUCAGAAGGAAUACCGAUUGCGAAGGCGAUCUACUGGAACAUUAUUGACGCUGAGAUGCGAAAGCGUGGGGAGCAAACAGGAUUAGAUACCCUGGUAGUCCACGCCCUAAACGAUGUACACUAGUUGUUGUGAGACUUGAUCUUGCAGUAAUGCAGUUAACACAUUAAGUGUACCGCCUGGGGAGUACGGUCGCAAGAUUAAAACUCAAAGGAAUAGACGGGGACCCGCACAAGCGGUGGAGCAUGUGGUUUAAUUCGACGAUACACGAAGAACCUUACCUGGACUUGACAUAGUAAGAACUUUCUAGAGAUAGAUUGGUGUCUGCUUGCAGAAACUUAUAUACAGGUGCUGCACGGCUGUCGUCAGCUCGUGUCGUGAGAUGUUGGGUUAAGUCCCGCAACGAGCGCAACCCUCGUGUUUAGUUGCUAACAGUUCGGCUGAGAACUCUAAACAGACUGCCUACGCAAGUAGGAGGAAGGUGAGGACGACGUCAAGUCAUCAUGGCCCUUACGUCCAGGGCUACACACGUGCUACAAUGGGAUAUACAAAGAGCGGCAAUACGGUGACGUGGAGCAAAUCUUAUAAAAUAUCUCCCAGUUCGGAUUGUAGUCUGCAACUCGACUACAUGAAGUUGGAAUCGCUAGUAAUCG
rnacentral:rRNA from 1 species